rnacentral:lncRNA from 1 species
UGUCUCGCAGGGUCCGCAGGGCCCGGACGGCCCAACGGGAGAAGCCGGCCCCGAGGGCACCAAGGUAAUGCUGUUAAAGAGCAUCUCUGCAUGCAUGUGAGGGCUGAUUUGGAGGCCUUCCUUUGAAUAAAUCAUUGCUCGUUUUAGCAGCUACUGUUUCAGGACUGGUCUGAUCAAUUCCAGUUUUCUGAAUGAAAAGUGUAAUUUUUUUACCUGCAGGGUGAAAAAGGUGUCAUGGGGCAAAAAGGAGAACUCGGAUCCAUAGGCAAACGUGGGGGUCCCGGUGAGAGAGGCCCUCCUGGGAAGCUCGGUAAACCAGGUGGCCUUGGCAGCACUGGGGAGAAAGGCCCCCCCGGCGAGCCAGUACGUAUGAUGUCAUCUAAUGCAGUCCAACCAAAACUCUGCUUGUGA